rnacentral:rRNA from 1 species
AUUGAACGCUGGCGGCAUGCUUUACACAUGCAAGUCGAACGGUAACAGGCCGCAAGGUGCUGACGAGUGGCGAACGGGUGAGUACUGCAUCGGAACGUGCCCAGUCGUGGGGGAUAACGCAGAGACAGCUGCGCUAAUACAGCAUACGAUCUAUGGAUGAAAGCGGGGGACCGUAAGGCCUCGCGCGAUUGGAGCGGCGGACGGCAGAUUAGGUAGUUGGUGGGGUAAAGGCUCACCAAGCCGACGAUCUGUAGCUGGUCUGAGAGGACGACCAGCCACACUGGGACUGAGACACGGCCCAGACUCCUACGGGAGGCAGCAGUGGGGAAUUUUGGACAAUGGGCGCAAGCCUGAUCCAGCAAUGCCGCGUGCAGGAAGAAGGCCUUCGGGUUGUAAACUGCUUUUGUACGGAACGAAAAGGCUCUGGUUAAUACCUGGGGCUCAUGACGGUACCGUAAGAAUAAGCACCGGCUAACUACGUGCCAGCAGCCGCCGCGGUAA